UUCGACUGUUUUUUUUAUAAAAAACCGGGAUUGGGCCACGCUCAAAGCGCAAAUUAAAAUUGAAGCAAUUUAAGGGCGGGGAUCAAGAUAAAUGGCUGCACACUUGCUAGCGGCGGUGCUACUUCUCGGAGAUUUCGAUUUCAUCUAGGGUUUCGCCAUUAUUCUCUUCUCUGUGAUACAUCUUGUUCUGAAUGUAUUUAUCAUCAGGAGUCAGGUUUGCAAUUUGUUGUUAAGUUAAAUGAAGCAUAUUGUGAAGAUUAUAUUUUUUUUUAAGAUUGGUCUUCUACAUGCUAAGUAUGUUACUGUCUGGGUGUCCUCUGUCCCUGCUAUUACAUUGUGAAGAUUUGCAUCAGUGAUAGUGUUAUUAAAUUCGCUUCCAAUCCUCACUAACCUCUGUUUUGUUAGUCUGUUGGUAAUUGCUGGAAUUUCCAAAUUGAUUUACCAAAUUGUGUACUUGGGGGUUUUAUUUGACUGUGCGCAUUUCUCCUGCCCUCUCCCUCGAGUGGGUAUGGGUAUGAUAUGUCUGCUACCUCUCCCUUUCGGACCCUGAUUUAUUGCAAGAUGCUGGGCUGAUGAGCAUGACCAUGACCAUUUACCAAAUUGUGAAGAGGGUUUUGCGAUUCAGGAUUCUUUAAUGAUCUAGGGUUUUGCAAUCAAAGGUGAAAAUACACAGGAGGCUGACAAUUUAUUUGCAUGGAAUUUACAAUUGUACUAAAUCUUUUCAUUUUCAUUCUUUAAAAAAUUAUUUGGGGAGAAAAUGUGGGAGUUAUAACUUCAUUUUCCUUAUUUAUGACUUUUAUUUUGUCUUAAAAAUUGUUAAUAUGCUUUAAGUUUAAUGAAUAUCAGACUUCUCAAUGGAGUGUUUGCUUUUGCUCAUGCUUUGUUUAGACUUGGAAAGGUGUGGGCUGUAGCCUCCUAUAGGUAUGUCUCUUUCUUUAGGUUAUACAGGAUGAAGUGAAAAUUUUAGCUGCAAUAGGAAUUUACUUGAGUAAUCUUUCUUAUCCAUCAAAUUUAGUGAAGUCUCGUUUUCCAUAAAUAUACUCGAUGUACACUUUUUAUUUUAAGGUCUAUAAUUUGUUUCGGUUGGUUCAUUGUUACUUGUUUCAUGGACUGUUUUUUUAGCAUGUACUGUCUAUACUAAAGGCUUCGAUACUACAAGCCUAAGGGGAAAAGAUUGUUAGCAUAUUUUCAUAAAUCCUGAAAUUGCGAUUUGUAGGCAUUUCUGGAUAAUCCCUAGUGUUUAGUUUACUGAUACAGCCCAGCCCCUUGUGCUAUUAUGUUCAAUAUGAAACUAUGAAACAUGGGAUGCCAUUUGUUGAACCAUAUACAUGUAUUUGUAUGUAUGUAUGUGAUUUGCCCUACUUUGGUGAAAAGGGAUAAUGACGACUUUUCUUAGUCUUGGGAUUCACUCUUGUUUCUGGAUUCACUCUUGUUUCUUAAUGAGAUUUGAAACGAAUAAUUCUUGGCUUGUUCUCUUUCUGUCCCUCUUAAUUUGUACAUCUUUCCAUUUUAAUUUGUUCCGCUCAUUUUACACUUUUUUUCUUUUUGGCAGUGCUCUCACUUUCUUUCUUUAAAUCUCAUCCACAAACUUAUUAUCUCUUUCUAUCGUAACCACUUAUUUCUAUCAUCUACUUGUUUUUAUGUUAUUCUCCAAUCCAAUUUCACUUUCUAUUAAAUUUUACCCAAAAUGAUUUGGGUCUCAUCCAGUGCAGUUGAAGCUCUUAUUUUGUUUAUUUUAGAUCUUUUUCUCAUUCUGAGCUGCCAGAUGAUGAUACCUAAACAUUGCGCAUGGGCUUUGAGUUCAUUUCUUAUAGUGAAUAUGAAAAGCUUUUAGGAACUGAUGGCAGUGAUUCUUUCUGCUUUGUGACAUCCUGUAUACUCUAGCAUUCUUAUCUAGAUGCUGCAUGCUUCAUAGGUGAUAUUGCUCUGUGCUUUCGAGCCGCCUGCACACUCGAUUAAUUGGCAUAUCAGGGUUUGAUGGUUGGCACUGGUGUGAUGCAUAGUUACUAAAAAACUUCCACUUAAAGACAAUUUCUUAAAGCAAAAAAAUCAUUUUAAUUUAAUUUUAAUUUUCAAAUAUAUUUUUUGUACAUAAUGUAUUUCGUACUCAAUCGUCCCCAAGUCAACUUAGAUUGUGUUUCUUAUUUCCGUUCCCGUUCCAUGUUCCAAACCGAAUGCCAUUCCAGAUAACAAUAGUAUGAUGCGCUUUCAGACUUAUCCUUUAGUUGUUUCCACUUGCUAAAAGAUAUCUUUUAUGUGGGUAGGAAAUCAAAAAGGAUAGUUGAUUCCUUUGUGCUUGAAAAUCUUAUAGAAAGAAGAAUGCUCACUAUUCUAAGUUUGAUUAAGUGGUACGCAAGAAAAUUUCUUAUAGGUGAGGGUAAGGAAAAUCAAAUAUUCGUGUAACUAGUGGGAUUUAAACCUUUCAGUCACAAGGGUGAAAGGAAAAUCGUUUAACCACUAGACUUUGUUUCCAUCAAUGUUGAUAGCCCCAUUGAAGUUCAAUUUGAUGUUCAGUAGGUCCCGUCCUUUUUGCCUUUACUCGCCUCUCCAUGUUUGGGUGUGAUCCGGAGCCCUAUUGGAACUCCUUUAACCAGUCUAGGGCCGAUUUAACAAAAAAACUCAUAAAAUGUUUAAAGAGGGAAAAUUGAAAAAGACAUAAUAAAUUAUAUUCUUGUGUUCAAUUUAAUUUGUCCAAUUUUUUAUUUUAUACUGUAUUAUUGAAUUUGUCUUAUUUCUAUUUUAGAUAUGACUUUACACCUUUUUUCUUCCUUAAUAUUCUUUCUUUUAUUUUUAAAUAUCCCAUUACAUUAAUUCAUUUUACUAACUUUUUAGUCCCUGUGUCAAAAGCAAUUUGGACAAAAUGACAUGGACGGAGGAGUAAUAAUCUCCUCUCGAUGGAAAAAUUAUCCCAUUACAUUAAUGCAUUUUAAAAACAUGAAUUUUUAAAGAUACAAAAAUAAUGUUUUUUCACUUGAUAAGUACAAUUAAUUAUAAGAAAAAAUUAUAAAAAAACUAUCUAAUUUAUAGCACUUUUUUGUAAAAAUGUAUUAAAUCUAAUUUUUUUGCAAAAAACUACUUAAUAUGAUAUAAUUCUUUGCAAAUAAAUAUCAUUUAACAGAAAAUGUUAAUUGACCGUUAAAUAAAACACAUAAAUUUAAAAAAAUCCCAAUAUCAUACUACCGAAAACAAAGACUCCUUGAUCUCUUGUCAGUUGUCACUGAGCUUUGCAGGCACUACCAAGGUUAGCAAGUUGAAGCUGAAGGUCCUCCUCUUCUAUCCUCCUUCCUCUUCUCAGCUUCUGUCAUGGUCCAUCUCAAAUUCUUGGCCUUGUACACUCAAACACCACUUUACACCCAACUUUAACUGGCGGCCCCAACCAGCGCCACCUACAAAUUAACCCUAGCCUCAACGGCCCGCUAAGAUCCACCCCAAGUUCCCUUCACUGCCUUCCCCAACGGUCAAAAACCCGUUGCCCCACCGCACUUUCUUAACUAGUUUGAACUUUCAACUGCCUCAAACCCCAUCUUUGUCAUUUGUGAAGCCCUCUUCCUCCACCAUUUUCACUGCUAGGGGUGUUUAAUGGGCCGGGUGGGCUUAAGUAAAUAUAGGUUGGGCUACUUUAAAACUAAGUAUAUUUGAAAAAAA